AUGCAGUUGUCAGCGACGGGGAUGGCGAUUAGGGUUUCAGAGAUCAAAACCCCAAUCGAUACUCUGUUCUUCUUCUGUAUUACUGUUCUUCUUCUCUUCUGGAUAUCGGUCUCCCCAGCUUCCCGGUUUUCCCCUUGUUCUUGGUCGUUCUUCUUCUUGUUCUCUUUUUUGUACUGUCAUUUCCCCCAUUCACUGUAA